UUUAAACAGCAAGGUCGCCGUUUCAGUGUAAAAGGGCUGUACGGCCGGUGUAAGCCGAUUAUAAUUUUAGCGCCGUUCCAUUUUAAUGAUAUCAAAGUUAACAUUAUAUGAUUUUAAAUAAUUUGCUGUUUGCAUAUUAAAGGUGGCAAUUUACACAAUAAUAAACUAAGUACGACCAUCUUUAACUGAUUCCUACGAAACUGGUUCUCAUUGAAUCUAGAGUUAUUAAAAUAUUAAGAAGAAUAUUCGACCAAUUUUUCGGGGCUUAUACGGGAAUUUUACGCCACUCCUCCAAUAAGGGACCUUCAAAUCAUCUCCAGGUCCAAAAUAUCCCACAAGUUUUGAAAUUACGUUCAAGUCUGAUCACUGUGCUGGCGUUUUGAUUAUGAGGCGGCAGUUUCAGACCAACCAAAGCUUUACAUUUCCAGCUGUGUACUUGGGGUCGUUAUCUUGGUAGAAUCUAAAUCGAUCUAGUAUUCCCAAGUUACCUGCACUUUGCAGAAAGUUGUCUUUUAAAAUGUUUAAAUACAUCUUAGCAUCAAUGAGACCAUCAAUGAACACUAAAUUUCCGAGACCAAAUCAUUCGUAGUGUUAUGUUUAAAAUUUAAAAUAAAAAACCCAUUGUUUAAUAUACAUAUGUAUGUGGAAAAAUUGCGCCAUUAAAGACAAAGUAUAGUUUUGUUGAAAAAAGAAUGACCUAAA